rnacentral:rRNA from 1 species
AUGUCUCAGUACAUACCAUUAUUAAGGUGAAACCGCGAAAGGCUCAUUAAAUCAGUUAUGGUUCCUUAGAUCGUACCACAUUUACUUGGAUAACUGUGGUAAUUCUAGAGCUAAUACAUGCACACAGAGCUCUGACCGGAGACGGAAGGAGUGCUUUUAUUAGAUCAAAACCAAUUGUGUCAUCCCCUAUGGCUCUAUAUGAUUCUGUAUCAUUGCGUACGUUCAUAUAUCCUGGGUGUAUGUUCACAUCAUAUAAUUGGUGAAUCUGAAUAACUUGCUGAUCGCAUGGUCUCGUACCGGCGACGCAUCUUUCAAAUGUCUGCCUUAUCAACUUUCGAUGGUAGGAUCUG